AGUGAACGCUGGCGGCGUGCUUAACACAUGCAAGUCGAGCGAGAAACGGAUUUAGCUUGCUAAAUUGCAGUCUAAGUGGCGCACGGGUGAGUAAUGUAUAGAUAAUAUGCCUUUUACUAAGGGAUAACAGUUGGAAACGGCUGCUAAUACCUUAUAUGCCUUUAAUACAUAAGUAUGCAAGGGAAAGAUUUAUUGGUAAAAGAUUAGUCUGUAUUGUAUCAGUUAGUUGGCGAGGUAAUGGCUCACCAAGACUAUGACGCAUAACUGGUCUGAGAGGAUGAUCAGUCACACUGGAACUGAGACACGGUCCAGACUCCUACGGGAGGCAGCAGUGGGGAAUAUUGCACAAUGGGGGAAACCCUGAUGCAGCAACGCCGCGUGGAGGAUGACACAUUUCGGUGCGUAAACUCCUUUUAUAUAGGAAGAUAAUGACGGUACUAUAUGAAUAAGCACCGGCUAACUCCGUGCCAGCCGCCGCGGUAA
rnacentral:rRNA from 1 species